rnacentral:rRNA from 1 species
UACGUAGGGUGCGAGCGUUAAUCGGAAUUACUGGGCGUAAGCGUGCGCAGGCGGCUUUGCAAGACAGGUGUGAAAUCCCCGGGCUUAACCUGGGAACUGCAUUUGUGACUGCAAGGCUAGAGUACGGUAGAGGGGGAUGGAAUUCCGCGUGUAGCAGUGAAAUGCGUAGAUAUGCGGAGGAACACCGAUGGCGAAGGCAAUCCCCUGGACCUGUACUGACGCUCAUGCACGAAAGCGUGGGGAGCAAACAGG